AUAAUAGAACGCCCCAAAUCAACAGCUAAAAUGGACCAUAACGCCUCAAAUUGAGAUUAUUUUUAUCUUAGCGGCGUAUUAGGCAGCUGACGCCGCCAAUCAAUCAUUAUGUAAUAAACUAAACCCUUAGCCAAAAUAUCCCGCAUUUUUCUUUCUCUUUACUUGUCUUCUUCCUUCUCCUCCUUCUCCUUCUCCUUCACUCUUCUUCACCACUGACUGUCGCUGGUGUCUAACUAAAGCUACAAACUCUUCUCCACCAUCGGGAUCCGGUGUCUCACUAAAGCUACAGAGUCAUCUCCACCGUCGGGCGUUGGUGACUCACAAACCACAGACCCAGAUCUACUAAAAUUAUGCGAAAGUUAUAGCAACCAACUAAAAUUCGUUAAUUCACGCCCUGGGUUCAAGUUAUUGGGUGAAUUUCACCGUUGUUUCAAGUUCGUCGGCCGUCGUGCUAGGUCUAGCUACUAUAGAUCCAAAAUACUGGACGAGUGGACGGUGUUGAUAAGCAUGCUGACUGUGAUUUAUUCUUCCUCAUUGAUGUGUGUACGAAGUCAAAUUUGUGAUUUGUGAUUUUAUAUGAAAGUUCUCAAACAGCUUGGUGUGGUCAAAUUCUACUAUAGUUAGCCGACCUACUGUUAAUUGGGUAUGAAGGAGUCGAGCUUAGUAUGGCCAGAGUAAAGAGUACAUUCAGGUGUCAAGACCGUAUAAACAAGCUGAAUUGGAUAUCAUUUUUGGGCUCAUCGUCAUUUUCAUUUCGUAGCUGUUUGCCCUCUGGAUGGAUAGUGCUGCUGUUUUCUACAGUUUUUACUCUGUUAUCCGAGAAGAUAUUUCUGGACAGGAAUAACUUUCUGACUACAUGUUGACUAGAGGGGUUUAAGAUGAAUGCAAGGGAAAUGGAGUGCCUUUGGAGUUUGUCCAACACUUGUGUUCUGUUGUUGACUUGAAAUACAUUAUGCAGUAGGAGCUUUAUUGAUCUACCAAUCAGCAAAUCCUUGUCCUAGGUUUGCACGUCACUAAGUGGAGAUCCUUUCACCGAUGAGAUCAAUUGAUGACAUACGAGACAAAUGGGCAUCAUACUUCACCGAACAUUGUGUGUAAAUAAUUAACACUUCAUCGAUCUCUUUUUGUGGAUGUUUCUUGCUAUUGAAAUCAUAUAUAAUUGCCUUAUUAUAGUUUUGGUGCAAAUUUAUAAUGUACGAAGUGUAAAAGACAUAGUUAUGAUCGACUUGCUAUUUAGGUGAUUUAUUUUUGUAAACAUAUGAUGGUGGCAUUAUAUGUAAAAAUCAAAGUUUAUUGGAAGUUAUUGGUGGUUCAUGAUUCUUUUGGACAUUGUAUAAAUGU